GGAUUCUGUUGGCUCACAAAGCUGACCUGAAAUACAAGAAUUCAGACAAAUGUGUUCCUGUUGUUAGCUAGCAGGGAACACAAAGGCACGUCAGAGGAGGUUAGCUGGGCAGCUGUGUGGGUACCUGAUGUGACAGAAGGCGUGGGAGGUUUCCUGUGAGUAGAUGCACACUCCAGAGACGACGCCGUUCCCUGUGUUUGCCUUACGUCAGCGGAGCUGAACCAAGCCAGCAACUUACUGUGGGCAAACUAGGGCAUAAAUAAUGAGUGUGGCAACUUGGCAGCAGCCCAAGCACAGGGAAAAGCUCAUGAAGCUCCCACUACUAGGAAAAGACCUGCCAGACUUUACAAGUAGUGCAAAUGAGUGGUCCUGAGGCAGGAAGGAGACCAUAAAUGGUCAGGUUUUCAGUGACCCAGAAGAACCAGUGCUGCUGAGUGUAUUCCUAAAAUGUAGGGGAAAUAAUGUGAUGACGAUGCAGAAUUAUUCAAGACAGUGAAAAGAAAAAUAAGCUGCAAAGUUCCAGAAGGAUCUCUGGCAUGUUAUGAGAGGUGAUAAUAUGAUAAAUGAAAUUCAGUGCUGACAAGUACCACAUAAUACACAGUCUCUAACUCAGUAGCACCUAGGAAAGAGAUCUUCAUGAAGACAGAGAGAGCUAUAUACCUCCAAAACCAUAUCACUAAUCAAAAACACGAGAUUGUUGCAUUUUAAUAAGGAAAUUGAAAAAAUCCAAC